rnacentral:rRNA from 1 species
GAGGAGGGCACCCGGUGAACUGAAACAUCUAAGUAGCCGGAGGAAGAGGAAUCAAAAGAGAUGCCCCCAGUAGCGGCGAGCGAAGCGGGCAAAGCCCAAACCGGAGCGGGAAACCGCACCGGGGUUGAGGACUACCAACAAGUACCUAGAUGAAGUCGAAUCAGGUGGGAACCUGAGCCAGAGACGGUGAGAGCCCGGUAGACGUAAAGAAGGGUAUGGGGUAGUAUCCGGAGUACCACGGGGCACGAGGAACCUUGUGGGAAGCAGGGGGGACCACCCUCCAAGGCGAAAUACUGAUAUGGACCGAUAGCGCAUAGUACCGUGAGGGAAAGGUGAAAAGAACCCCGGGAGGGGAAUGAAAGAGAACCUGAAACCGUAUGUCUACAAGCAGUCGAAGCACCGUAUGCGUGCGACGGCGUGCCUAUUGAAGAAUGAACCGGCGAGUUAUUUCAUCCGGCGAGGUUAAGCGGAAAACGCGGAGCCGAAGCGAAAGCGAGUCUGAACAGGGCGACAAGUCGGAUGGAAUAGACCCGAAACCACAGUGAUCUAUCCAUGCCCAGGUUGAAGCACAGGUAAAAAUGUGUGGAGGACCGAACCAGUGAGCGUUGAAAAGCUUUUGGAUGAGGUGUGGAUAGGGGUGAAAUGCCAAUCGAACGUGGAGAUAGCUGGUUCUCCCCGAAAUAGCUUUAGGGCUAGCCUCAUGGCAAGAGUGCAGGCGGUAGAGCACUGAACAGGGUAGGGGCCUAUCCGGCUACCGAACCUAAUCAAACUACGAAUGGCUGUACUUAUCCAUGGGAGUCAGACUGCGAGUGAUAAGACCCGUAGUCAAGAGGGAAACAGCCCAGACCAACAGCUAAGGUCCCCAAUGCCGUACUAAGUGGUAAAGGAUGUGGAGUUUCGAAAACAACCAGGAUGUUGGCUUAGAAGCAGCCACCAUUAAAAGAGUGCGUAAUAGCUCACUGGUCGAGAGACUCUGCGCCGAAGAUGACCGGGGCUAAAGUACGGAACCGAAGCUUUGGCAUGUAUGUAAAUACAUGGGUAGGGGAGCGUUCCUGCAUGGGCGAAGCCUGACCGGAAGGACAGGUGGACAGGCAGGAAGUGAGAAUGCCGGUAUGAGUAGCGAAAAGAAAGGUGAGAAUCCUUUCCACCGAAAGCCUAAGGGUUCCUGGGCAACGAUCGUCGACCCAGGGUAAGUCGGGACCUAAUCCGAGGCGAAGACGCAUAGGAGAUGGACAACAGGUUGAAAUUCCUGUACCGACGUCGUCUGUUUGAGCGAUGGAGUGACACAAGAAGGAAAGUUCGCAUGCGAUUGGAAGAGCAUGUCUAAGCAGGUAGGUUGAAUACCAGGCAAAUCCGGUAUUCUAAAAGCCGAGAAGUGAUAGGGAGCCUGUAGAGAUACAGGUGAAGGAACCGGGACUCGAUUGUCAAGAAAAGCUUCUAGUGAGGACGACGCCGCCCGUACCAAAACCGACACAGGUAGGCAAGAAGAGAAUUCUAAGGUGCGCGGGAAAACCCUCGUUAAGGAACUCGGCAAAAUGUAUCCGUAACUUCGGGAAAAGGAUAACCCAGAGUACGUGAAGGAAAGAAACAUCCGGAGCGGGAAUGGGUGGCACAAGAGAGGCCCAAGCGACUGUUUACCACAAACACAGGCGUCUGCUAAAGAGAAAUCUGAUGUAUAGAUGCUGACACCUGCCCGGUGCUGGAAGGUUAAGAGGACGUGUUAGCCGCAAGGCGAAGCAGAGAAUUGAAGCCCCAGUAAACGGCGGCCGUAACUAUAACGGUCCUAAGGUAGCGAAAUUCCUUGUCGGGUAAGUUCCGACCCGCACGAAAGGUGUAACGACUUGCGCACUGUCUCAACGAGGGACCCGGUGAAAUUGAAGUACCUGUGAAGAUGCAGGUUACCCGCGACUGGACAGAAAGACCCCAUGGAGCUUUACUGUAACCUGAGAUUGAAUUUUGGUAGAAGAUGUACAGGAUAGUUGGGAGACGUAGAAGCGCGCACGCCAGUGUACGCAGAGUCGAUGGUGGGAUACCAACCUUGUUUUAUUGAAAUUCUAACGAGAGCCGUAACGAGGCUGCGGACAGUCUCAGGCGGGCAGUUUGACUGGGGCGGUCGCCUCCGAAAGAGCAACGGAGGCGCCCAAAGGUUCCCUCAGCGCGGACGGAAACCGCGCGAAGAGUGUAAAGGCAGAAGGGAGCUUGACUGCGAGACGGACAGGUCGAGCAG